CCCUUAGAUGUUCUGGGCCGCACGCGCGCUACACUGAUGCAUUCAACAAGUUCACCUUGGCCGAGAGGCUUGGGCAAUCUUUUGAACAUGCAUCGUGAUAGGGAUAGAUUAUUGCAAUUAUUAAUCUUGAACGAGGAAUUCCUAGUAAACGUAGAUCAUCAAUCUGCAUUGAUUACGUCCCUGCCCUUUGUACACACCGCCCGUCGCUCCUACCGAUUGGGUGUGCUGGUGAAAUGUUCGGAUCGGCCGUUUGUCGCGGUUUCCGCGUCAUGUGGCUGAGAAGUUCAUUAAACCCUCCCACCUAGAGGAAGGAGAAGUCGUAACA
rnacentral:rRNA from 1 species